rnacentral:rRNA from 1 species
AUUGAACGCUGGCGGCAGGCCUAACACAUGCAAGUCGAGCGGAUGAAGGGAGCUUGCUCCUGGAUUCAGCGGCGGACGGGUGAGGAAUGCCUAGGAAUCUGCCUGGGAGUGGGGGAUAACGUCCGGAAACGGGCGCUAAUACCGCAUGCGUCCUGAUGGAGAAAGUAGGGGAUCUUCGGACCGCACGCUAUCAGAUGAGCCUAGGUCGGAUUAGCUAGUUGGUGGGGUAAAGGCCUACCAAGGCGACGAUCCGUAACUGGUCUGAGAGGAUGAUCAGUCACACUGGAACUGAGACACGGUCCAGACUCCUACGGGAGGCAGCAGUGGGGAAUAUUGGACAAUGGGCGAAAGCCUGAUCCAGACAUGCCGCGUGUGUGAAGAAGGUCUUCGGAUUGUAAAGCACUUUAAGUUGGGAGGAAGGGAAGUAAGUUAAUACCUUGCUGUUUUGACGUUACCAAAAGAAUAAGCACCGGCUAACUUCGUG